GCGCCUGUAGCUCAGCUGGAUAGAGCAACUGGCUUCGAACCAGUAGGUCGCAGGUUCAAGUCCUGCCGGGCGCGCCA
rnacentral:tRNA from 1 species